rnacentral:rRNA from 1 species
AGUGAACGCUGGCGGUAGGCCUAACACAUGCAAGUCGAACGGCAGCACAGUAAGAGCUUGCUCUUACGGGUGGCGAGUGGCGGACGGGUGAGGAAUACAUCGGAAUCUACUUUUUCGUGGGGGAUAACGUAGGGAAACUUACGCUAAUACCGCAUACGACCUACGGGUGAAAGCAGGGGAUAUUCGGACCUUGCGCGAUUGAAUGAGCCGAUGUCGGAUUAGCUAGUUGGCGGGGUAAAGGCCCACCAAGGCGACGAUCCGUAGCUGGUCUGAGAGGAUGGUCAGCCACACUGGAACUGAGACACGGUCCAGACUCCUACGGGAGGCAGCAGUGGGGAAUAUUGGACAAUGGGCGCAAGCCUGAUCCAGCCAUACCGCGUGGGUGAAGAAGGCCUUCGGGUUGUAAAGCCCUUUUGUUGGGAAAGAAAAGCAGCAGGUUAAUACCCCGCUGUUCUGACGGUACCCAAAGAAUAAGCACCGGCUAACUUCGUG